UGCGGAUUGAUGUAAUAGAAACAUAACUGGCUCAUGCCCAGUAUAUAUUGGUGCAAACCCUUUGUCCGCUC
rfam:Diplodia corticola strain CBS 112549 scaffold74, whole genome shotgun sequence.